GAGCCGCCGCUGUGGUCACAGUGACCGCCACCGUUGCCCGGGGAUGGGUCCUUGAGACUUGGCUAAGCAGGCACCCUGUGUGAGCUUGGUCAGAGUCGGGGCUGAGACCAGUCCUGGCCAGGGCAGUUAACAGGAAGGUCUCCGGAGGCCGGGAUUCGCGGAGGGUCCAUCAGGAGGAAGAAACCUCAGACAGAUCUCCGGGGAGACAGCGCGGGAUCCCAGCCUCAGGCGUGCGCGGACAGUGUGCGGGAAGGGAGUGUAUCCUGGUGUAUGACAGCAUAUAGUAGAGACCAGUGUCAAUUAGGGCCUGUGAACUGAGACAGGGUGACUGGCUAAGUCCACAACCCAUUAGAAACCCAGAAAUAAUCAAAUCAUGGAGAGAUUAGUCCAGGGACAAUAAAUAUGGAUUAGGGAAGAAUGUGUUAACUCAGCAGGCCAGGGUUUCUUCAACCCUGCACAUUCAAAGGCUCCUCCUUGAGUUAUUGGGAAUAAGUAAUGCUUCUCAAUAAAGCUUCGUGUCAACAAAUCUGAACAUAUAACAUCUCAGCUAGAGCAAGUUACUAAAAAUAGGCUCAAUUUGUACCUUGCAGUCAUGCCUUCAUAACCACUUUUCAAUUAAUCCUGCUUAAUUCAGAGAAUGUAUAAAUAUGUAAUUUUGCAUCACUUUUAAGGCAGCCAUUUUAUUUUGAAAUGCAACUAACAUUAUAUGCAUAAAUUCAAUAAAUAUAAAGCUGUUUUCAAAAAUUGAA
rnacentral:lncRNA from 1 species